rnacentral:rRNA from 3 species
UGAGGAAUAUUGGACAAUGGAUGGAAAUCUGAUCCAGCCAUGCCGCGUGCAGGAAGGCGGCCCUAUGGGUUGUAAACUGCUUUUGUACGGGAGCAAUAAGGUCUACGAGUAGAUUGAUGAGAGUACUGUACGAAUAAGCAUCGGCUAACUCCGUGCCAGCAGCCGCGGUAAUACGGAGGAUGCGAGCGUUAUCCGGAUUUAUUGGGUUUAAAGGGUGCGUAGGCUGUUAUGUAAGUCAGUGGUAAAAGGUACAGGCUUAACUUGUAUAUGCCAUUGAAACUGUAUAGCUAGGAUAUGGAUGAAGUGUGCGGAAUGUGUGGUGUAGCGGUGAAAUGCAUAGAUAUCACACAGAACACCGAUAGCGAAGGCAGCACACUAAGGCAAUAUUGACGCUGAGGCACGAAAGUGUGGGGAUCAAACAGG